rnacentral:rRNA from 1 species
UAGGGAAUCUUCGGCAAUGGGGGGAACCCUGACCGAGCAACGCCGCGUGAGUGAAGAAGGUUUUCGGAUCGUAAAACUCUGUUAUUAGGGAAGAACAAAUGUGUAAGUAACUAUGCACGUCUUGACGGUACCUAAUCAGAAAGCCACGGCUAACUACGUGCCAGCAGCCGCGGUAAUACGUAGGUGGCAAGCGUUAUCCGGAAUUAUUGGGCGUAAAGCGCGCGUAGGCGGUUUUUUAAGUCUGAUGUGAAAGCCCACGGCUCAACCGUGGAGGGUCAUUGGAAACUGGAAAACUUGAGUGCAGAAGAGGAAAGUGGAAUUCCAUGUGUAGCGGUGAAAUGCGCAGAGAUAUGGAGGAACACCAGUGGCGAAGGCGACUUUCUGGUCUGUAACUGACGCUGAUGUGCGAAAGCGUGGGGAUCAAACAGG